GAUGAACGCUAGCUAUAGGCUUAACACAUGCAAGUCGAGGGGCAGCAUGAACUUAGCUUGCUAAGUUUGAUGGCGACCGGCGCACGGGUGAGUAACACGUAUCCAACCUGCCGAUGACUCGGGGAUAGCCUUUCGAAAGAAAGAUUAAUACCCGAUAGUAUAAUGAAACCGCAUGGUCUUAUUAUUAAAGAAUUUCGGUCAUCGAUGGGGAUGCGUUCCAUUAGGUUGUUGGCGGGGUAACGGCCCACCAAGCCUUCGAUGGAUAGGGGUUCUGAGAGGAAGGUCCCCCACAUUGGAACUGAGACACGGUCCAA
rnacentral:rRNA from 1 species